GGCAAGAUGGCCGAGUGGUCUAAGGCGCUGUGUUCAGGUGUUUCCUCUUCUGAGGUAUUCAUUCGCAGUCUUCGGGCGUGGGUUCGAACCCCACUCUUGUCA